rnacentral:sRNA from 1 species
UUUACUUGUCUUGUAGAAUGUAAUGCCUCUUGUUGGGCGAAAUUAAAUACAACUUUCAACAACGGAUCUCUUGGCUCUCGCAUCGAUGAAGAACGCAGCGAAAUGCGAUAAGUAAUGUGAAUUGCAGAAUUCAGUGAAUCAUCGAAUCUUUGAACGCACCUUGCGCUCCUUGGCAUUCCGAGGAGCAUGCCUGUUUGAGUGUCAUGUUAAUCUCAAUCCCUUGGGUUUGUUAUGAACUCUUGAGAUUGGACUUGGAGGUUACUGCUGGCUUCACCGUCGGCUCCUCUUGAAUGUAUUAGCUGGGCCUUUAGCCUCGCGCUCGUGGUGUGAUAGUUUAUUCACCUUGAGUGUGGCUUGUAUGGGUCUGCUUCUAAUCGUCUUAAAACGACAAUACCUUGACUCUCUGACCUCAAAUCAGGA